UACAGAGGUCUCAAGCGUUGUUCGGAUUCAUUGGGCGUAAAGCGCACGUAGGCGGUCUGUUAUGUCGGAUGUGAAAGCCCCUUGGCUUAACUGAGGAAGUGCAUCCGAAACUGGCAGGCUAGAGUACUAAAGAGGGGUCGCGGAAUUCCCGGUGUAGAGGUGAAAUUCGUAGAUAUCGGGAGGAACACCGGUGGCGAAGGCGGCGACCUGGGUAGAUACUGACGCUGAGGUGCGAAAGCGUGGGGAGCAACAGG
rnacentral:rRNA from 1 species